ensembl:misc_RNA Y_RNA Y RNA
GGCUGGUCCAAAGGUAGUGAGUUAUCUCAAUUGAUUGUUCACAGGCAGUUACAGAUUGAACUCCCUGUUCUACUAUUUCCCCCCUUCUCACUACUGCACUUGACUAGUCUUAA